UUUCCGUAGGUGAACCUGCGGAAGGACCAUAAAGAGUCCGAAAGGAUGGAGUUGUGAAUUGAAGUAUAGUGAAAGUCGAUAACAGUAUAAAGCUGCCAACAAUGGAUCUCUUGGUUCUCGCAUCGAUGAGAACGCAGC
rnacentral:misc_RNA from 1 species